UGUUUGGAUGCUUGCAAGAAGCUCCAUGAGAUAGGAACAUUUACUGAUAUGCUCUUGCCAGAUAAGGGAAGUGGCACAGAAUCUGAAAAGGUUGAGGAAAAUGAUGAAGGUGAUCCCCUUCCUGGAACUGCCAGGCAUAGGGAGUUUUAUCCUGAAGGUGUAGCUGACAUUCUCCGGGUAUUGGCCAAAAUAAUUAGGUGGUAGAAAUUGAAGGGGAAGAAGAAAACCCCACAGGAUCAUUUUCUGAUGCUCAUGAUGUGUGAUGACUUAAUAAGAUCUAUUGUAAUUACUUGCAAAGCAGACACAAUUGUCUAUAUAGUAUUUUUCUUGUAGGUGAA